AUUGAACGCUGGCGGCAGGCCUAACACAUGCAUGUCGAACGAGUGGCGGACGGGUGAGUAAUGUCUGGGAAACUGCCUGAUGGAGGGGGAUAACUACUGGAAACGGUAGAGAAUACCGCAUACCAUAAGAUGUGCCAAGAUGGGAUUAGCUUGUUGGUGGGGUAAGGUCUCACCAAGGCGACGAUCCAUAGCUGGUUUGAGAGGAUGACCCGCCACAUUGGAACUGGUACACGGUCCAGACUCCUACGGGAGGCAGCAGUGGGGAAUAUUGCACAAUGGGCGCAAGCCUUAUGCAGCCAUGCCGCGUGUAUGAAGAAGGCCUUCGGGUUUUAAAGUACUUUCAGCGGUGAGGCGUUACCCGCAGAAGAAUCACCGGCUAACUCCGUGCCAGCAGCCGCGGUAAUAC
rnacentral:rRNA from 1 species